rnacentral:rRNA from 1 species
AUUGAACGCUGGCGGCAGGCCUAACACAUGCAAGUCGAACGAGUGGCGGACGGGUGAGUAAUGUCUGGGAAACUGCCUGAUGGAGGGGGAUAACGACUGGAAACGGUAGCUAAUACCGCAUACCAUCAGAUGUGCCCAAAUGGGAUUAGCUAGUUGGUGGGGUAAAGGCUCACCAAGGCGACGAUCUCUAGCUGGUCUGAGAGGAUGACCAGCCACACUGGAACUGAGAAACGGUUCAGACUCCUACGGGAGGCAGCAGUGGGGAAUAUUGCACAAUGGGCGCAACCCUGAUGCAGCCAUGCCGCGUGUAUGAAGAAGGCCUUCGGGUUGUAAAGGACUUUCAGCGGUGAGGCGUUACCCGCAGAAGAAGCACCGGCUAACUCCGUGCCAGCAGCCGCGGUAAUUC